rnacentral:lncRNA from 1 species
AGUGGGCCCCCCGCCGCCCCGCCCGAGAGCUGAUUUUCUGGCUGCCGCGACUGGAGAGUUUCAGAGGAGAGGUGCGCGCGCGCACGUCUGCCGCAGUUGUGAAAGGACUUGAAUUGUCCAGAGCAAGGAUGAAUGAGAUGUCCACGUGAAAGAAGGGUGUCCCCGCUUCCUGGCUGUUCUGGAAGGCGAGUGAGCCCGGGGCGCUGAGAGUGAAGUCCACUCCCCGGGGACACGGCGCGGGAGAGCGGGGCGGCGGCACGCGAGGCCAGCCGCGCGCAGCUGGGCGCCCCCCGCCCUCCCCGGCAGGUGCGCAGCGCGCCUGCGCGCUGGGGCUGCCGCCACUCAGCCGACGGGAGAGGUGGCGGCGCGCGCAGGGCUGCCGGUGCCGCGGCUCCCAGCUCGGCGGAGUCCAGAAGUCCCGUCCUGAAAACUUAGGAUUGUUUUAUUCACAGUGUUACUAUACCAGGAAGUCAUUUCAUCUUCUGUAACUGGACUCAGGGAGCUUAAAGAGCCCGUUCUCUCUUCUCCUCUCAAAACUGACUUACUGUUGCCCCCACCUGGAAGAUACUGAAAGCUAUUCACGCAGAAUAUAAGCUGUAGGCUUCCUCUGCCUUUUUCCUUCAUUUCGUUUUUAAAAUAAUUUAUUCUAGAAUGUAUACAUCUGGAAAUUUUGUGCAUUUAAAUUUCCAGGGAAGUGUUUGAUAAGCAGUAAUUUUUCUCCCGUACCUCCAGUCCAAAUACAUUUCAAGAUUAGGAGCAGAAAAUAAAGGCGUGUUAGUGAUUGGUUCAAGAUUUUAUACCGUGAACAACUACUGACUUUCAAUUAUCUGAUAAAAUAGAAAACAGCUCCCAAAGACAAAACUGACAAGUCUUUCUUCCUCUGAUUACAAAUAUAUGUCACACUUACCGGGAAAAUAUUAUUUUGAAUUUAACUGUUUGAUAUUGGAAAUCACUGAAAGGUUCACAUCGGUCAUAUUGGAUGAAAAAGAAUACAUAUCUACCUGAUUUUGUAACUAAAAAGAUGUAUUACGAGUGUAUGUUGCAGGUGGAUUAGAUGCCUUUUUAAAGAAAAAAAAACCCACUGUUUCAAAUGUAUUUUAUAUGAAAACAUUCUUUAUUCCAUCUCUUGAAAUUUGGAAUAAGACAAAGUUUUCAUGUCUGAAAAUCACAGAAGCUGUUGAGGGUAUGCUGUUAUUCCUCAUGUAUUUAAUGCAAGCUGUCUGCAUGAUAUCCUGACAUUAUUCUAUUAACUGAACUUGAAUGGAGCAUUUGUAUCUAUCAUAGAGUGAAGUAAUUUAUUGGUCACUGAUAAGUGAUAUGGCUGCAAUUUAGGAAUUGCAAUAUGGUGUGUUUUAUGUCUGCGUUGUCUUAAUAAAAACAAGAAGCGUUUAUAGAAAAA